CCUACGGGAGGCAGCAGUGGGGGUUAUUGCACAAUGGGGGAAACCCUGAUGCAGCGACGCCGCGUGGGUGAAGAAGUAUUUCGGUAUGUAAAGCCCUAUCAGCAGGGAAGAAAGAAGACGGUACCUGACUAAGAAGCCCCGGCUAACUACGUGCCAGCAGCCGCGGUAAUACGUAGGGGGCGAGCGUUAUCCGGAUUCACUGGGUGUAAAGGGAGCGUAGACGGCCGUGCAAGCCAGGAGUGAAAGCCCGGGGCCCAACCCCGGGACUGCUCUUGGAACUGUGCGGCUGGAGUGCGUGAGGGGCAGGCGGAAUUCCUGGUGUAGCGGUGAAAUGCGUAGAUAUCAGGAGGAACACCGGCGGCGAAGGCGGCCUGCUGGACCGCGACUGACGUUGAGGCUCGAAAGCGUGGGGAGCGAACAGGAUUAGAUACCCGUGUAGUC
rnacentral:rRNA from 1 species